UACGUAGGGUACGAGCGUUAAUCGGAAUUACUGGGCGUAAAGGGCGCGUAGGCGGCCUGUUAAGUCGAACGUGAAAUCCCCGGGCUCAACCCGGGAACUGCGUCCGAUACUGGCAGGCUUGAAUCCGGGAGAGGGAUGCGGAAUUCCAGGUGUAGCGGUGAAAUGCGUAGAUAUCUGGAGGAACACCGGUGGCGAAGGCGGCAUCCUGGACCGGCAUUGACGCUGAGGCGCGAAAGCCAGGGGAGCAAACGGG
rnacentral:rRNA from 1 species